GUGCCAGCCGCCGCGGUAAUACGUAGGUGGCAAGCGUUGUCCGGAAUUAUUGGGCGUAAAGCGCGCGCAGGCGGUUUCUUAAGUCUGAUGUGAAAGCCCCCGGCUCAACCGGGGAGGGUCAUUGGAAACUGGGGAACUUGAGUGCAGAAGAGGAGAGUGGAAUUCCACGUGUAGCGGUGAAAUGCGUAGAGAUGUGGAGGAACACCAGUGGCGAAGGCGACUCUCUGGUCUGUAACUGACGCUGAGGCGCGAAAGCGUGGGGAGCGAACAGGAUUAGAUACCCCUGUAGUCC
rnacentral:rRNA from 1 species